GACGAACGCUGGCGGCGCGCCUAAUACAUGCAAGUCGAGCGAGAAGACGUAGCAAUACGUUUGUAAAGCGGCGAACGGGUGAGGAAUACAUGGGUAACCUACCCUCGAGUGGGGAAUAACUAGCCGAAAGGUUAGCUAAUACCGCGUACGCUCCUUGGACUUCGGUUCAGGGAGGAAAGCGAUACCGUGGGUAUCGCGCUCUUGGAUGGGCUCAUGUCCUAUCAGCUUGUUGGUGAGGAACGGCUCACCAAGGCUUCGACGGUAGCUGGUCUGAGAGGACGAUCAGCCACACUGGCACUGCGACACGGGCCAGACUCCUACGGGAGGCAGCAGUAGGGAAUAUUGCGCAAUGGGCGAAAGCCUGACGCAGCGAUGCCGCGUGGAUGAUGAAGGCCUGGUCGUAA
rnacentral:rRNA from 1 species